rnacentral:sRNA from 1 species
GGAAGGAUCAUUAUUGAAUGAACUUGGUGUGGUUGUUGCUGGCCCUCUCGGGGGCAUGUGCACACCCACCAUCCUCAUCUCCCCACCUGUGCACCUCUUGUAGACCUGGAUUGACUCUCCGAGGCAACUCGGUCGGGAAGAUUGCUGCGCUCUGUGAGCCAGCUUUCUUUGCAUGUCCAGGCCUAUGUUUUUCAUAUACCCUUAUAGAAUGUAACAGAAUGUAUCAUUGGGCCUUGUGCCUAUAAACCUUAUACAACUUUCAGCAACGGAUCUCUUGGCUCUCGCAUCGAUGAAGAACGCAGCGAAAUGCGAUAAGUAAUGUGAAUUGCAGAAUUCAGUGAAUCAUCGAAUCUUUGAACGCACCUUGCGCUCCUUGGUAUUCCGAGGAGCAUGCCUGUUUGAGUGUCAUUAAAUUCUCAACCUUAUUAACUUUUGUUGAUAAUGGAUUGGAUGUGGGGGUUUCUUUUGCUGGCUUCUUCACAGAGAUCAGCUCCCCUUAAAUGCAUUAGCUGGUGCCCCGCGUGGACCAUCUAUUGGUGUGAUAAUUAUCUACGCCGUGGAUGUCUGCAAUUAUAUGGGUUUUGCACUGCUUCUAACCGUCUGUUCAUUUGGACAAUACAUGACAAUUUGACCUCAAAUCAGGUAGGACUACCCGCUGAACUUAAGCAUAUCAAUAAG